UACGUAGGGUGCAAGCGUUGUCCGGAAUUAUUGGGCGUAAAGAGCUCGUAGGCGGUCUGUCGCGUCGGCUGUGAAAACUCGAGGCUCAACCCCGGACUUGCAGUGGGUACGGGCAGACUAGAGUGUGGUAGGGGGAGACUGGAAUUCCUGGUGUAGCGGUGAAAUGCGCAGAUAUCAGGAGGAACACCGAUGGCGAAGGCAGGUCUCUGGGCCACUACUGACGCUG
rnacentral:rRNA from 1 species